GGGGCCGUAGCUCAGUUGGGAGAGCGCAUGACUGGCAGUCAUGAGGUCGUGGGUUCGAUCCCCAUCGGCUCCA
rnacentral:tRNA from 2 species